GAAAAGAAACCAACAGGGAUUGCCUUAGUAACGGCGAGUGAAGCGGCAAAAGCUCAAAUUUGAAAUCUGGCACCUUCGGUGUCCGAGUUGUAAUUUGAAGAAGGUAACUUUGGAGUCAGCUCUUGUCUAUGUUCCUUGGAACAGGACGUCACAGAGGGUGAGAAUCCCGUGCGAUGAGAUGUCUGAUUCUAUGUAAAGUGCUUUCGAAGAGUCGAGUUGUUUGGGAAUGCAGCUCUAAGUGGGUGGUAAAUUCCAUCUAAAGCUAAAUAUUGGCGAGAGACCGAUAGCGAACAAGUACAGUGAUGGAAAGAUGAAAAGAACUUUGAAAAGAGAGUGAAAAAGUACGUGAAAUUGUUGAAAGGGAAGGGUUUGAGAUCAGACUUGGUAUUUUGUAUGUCUUGCUUUCGGGUGGGGCCUCUACAGUUUACUGGGCCAGCAUCGGUUUGGACGGUAGGAUAAUGACAUUGGAAUGUGGCACCACUUCGGUGGUGUGUUAUAGACUUUGUUGAUACUGCCUGUCUAGACCGAGGACUGCGUCUUUGACUAGGAUGCUGGCAUAAUGAUCUUAAACCGCCCGUCUU
rnacentral:rRNA from 1 species